UACAGAGGUGGCAAGCGUUGUUCGGAAUUACUUGGCGUAAAGGGCGCGUAGGCGGUUGCCUAAGUCGGACGUGAAAUCCCCAAGCUUAACUUGGGAACUGCAUCUGAUACUGGGUGACUUGAGUUCGGGAGAGGAAUGUGGAAUUCCAGGUGUAGCGGUGAAAUGCGUAGAUAUCUGGAGGAACACCGGUGGCGAAGGCGGCAUUCUGGACCGAAACUGACGCUGAGGCGCGAAAGCCAGGGGAGCAAACGGG
rnacentral:rRNA from 1 species